rnacentral:rRNA from 1 species
GACGAACGCUGGCGGCGUGCUUAACACAUGCAAGUCGAGCGGUAAGGCCCCUUCGGGGGUACACGAGCGGCGAACGGGUGAGUAACACGUGAGCAAUCUGCCCAUCACAUCGGGAUAACUCCGGGAAACCGAAGCUAAUACCGAAUACGACCACCUCCGGCAUCGGAUGGUGGUGGAAAGUUCCGGCGGUGAUGGAUGAGCUCGCGGCCUAUCAGCUUGUUGGUGGGGUAACGGCCCACCAAGGCUUCGACGGGUAGCCGGCCUGAGAGGGUGACCGGCCACGCUGGGACUGAGACACGGCCCAGACUCCUACGGGAGGCAGCAGUGGGGAAUAUUGGACAAUGGGCGAAAGCCUGAUCCAGCAACGCCGCGUGAGGGAUGACGGCCUUCGGGUUGUAAACCUCUUUCAGCAGGGACGAAGCGCAAGUGACGGUACCUGCAGAAGAAGCACCGGCCAACUACGUG